UCCCUUUGCACGGCUGACUGGACAUUUCACCGAGAUGUUAACAAAACCACGGCCCAAAUUCCCACCUCUUCGUCUGUUUAACCGCCUCUGACACCGAUCUCCAACGCUGAGAGACAGCUGAUUAUACAGAUGCAGAUCUCCCCAUGCAUGAAAAACAUAAAGCAAUAUGGCCUGCUGUCUCUUCAACAACGAUGCGAGCGGGUACUGAGGACUGACUGAUCCAGAAGGAGACCCAGGACAAGACCACCAGAGCACUGGAAGGAACGUACGUCUCCAGAAU